UGGGGAAUAUUGCACAAUGGGCGAAAGCCUGAUGCAGCGACGCCGCGUGAGCGAAGAAGUAUUUCGGUAUGUAAAGCUCUAUCAGCAGGGAAGAUAAUGACGGUACCUGACUAAGAAGCACCGGCUAAAUACGUGCCAGCAGCCGCGGUAAUACGUAUGGUGCAAGCGUUAUCCGGAUUUACUGGGUGUAAAGGGAGCGUAGACGGCGUAUCAAGUCUGAUGUGAAAGGCAUGGGCUCAACCCGUGGACUGCAUUGGAAACUGGUAUGCUCGAGUGCCGGAGGGGUAAGCGGAAUUCCUAGUGUAGCGGUGAAGUGCGUAGAUAUUAGGAGGAACACCAGUGGCGAAGGCGGCUUUACUGGACGGUAACUGACGUUGAGGCUCGAAAGCGUGGGGAGCAAACAGGAUUAGAUACCCUGGUAGU
rnacentral:rRNA from 1 species